GGGUGCGUAACACGUGGGUAAUUUGCCGUGAGGUUCGGGAUAACCUGCCGAAAGGUAGGCUAAUACCGAAUGUGACUUUUGGAAGGCAUCUUCUAAGAUUCAAAGCUGGGGACCGAAAGGCCUGGCGCUUCAUGAUAAGCCCGCGGCCUAUCAGCUUGUUGGUGAGGUAAAGGCUCACCAAGGCUAAGACGGGUAACUGGUCUGAGAGGACGAUCAGUCACACUGGAAUUGAGACACGGUCCAGACACCUACGGGUGGCAGCAGUCGAGAAUCUUUCACAAUGGGCGAAAGCCUGAUGGAGCGACGCCGCGUGGGGGAUGAAGGGCUUCGGUCCGUAAACCCCUGUCAUCUGUGAACAAACCUUUCUAUUUAAAAGAUGGAAAGCUGAUAGUAGCAGAAGAGGAAGGGACGGCUAACUCUGUGCCAGCAGCCGCGGUAAUACAGAGGUCCCAAGCGUUGUUCGGAUUCACUGGGCGUAAAGGGUGCGUAGGUGGCAAGGUAAGUUUGAUGUGAAAUCUCCGGGCUCAACCCGGAAAAUGCAUUGAAUACUAUCUAGCUUGAGGGUCGGAAGGGAGACUGGAAUUCUCGGUGUAGCAGUGAAAUGCGUAGAUAUCGAGAGGAACACCAGUGGCGAAGGCGAGUCUCUGGACGACACCUGACACUGAGGCACGAAAGCUAGGGGAGCAAACAGGAUUAGAUACCCUGGUAGUCCUAGCCGUAAACGGUGCACACUUGCUGUAAGAGGAUUCGACCCCUUUUGUGGCGAAGCUAACGCGUUAAGUGUGCCGCCUGGGGAGUACGGUCGCAAGAUUAAAACUCAAAGAAAUUGACGGGGGCCUGCACAAGCGGUGGAGUAUGUGGCUUAAUUCGAUUCAACGCGAAGAACCUUACCUGGCCUUGACAUGUAGGUGGUAGAAGCCUGAAAGGGUGACGACCUCGCAAGAGGAGCUUACACAGGUGCUGCAUGGCUGUCGUCAGCUCGUGUCGUGAGAUGUUGGGUUAUUCCCGCAACGAGCGCAACCCCUGUGUCCUGUUGCCACCCGAACGCAAGUUCGGAGCACUCUGGACAGACUGCCUCGCUUAAACGAGGAGGAAGGUGGGGAUGACGUCAAGUCAGUAUGGCCCUUACGGCCAGGGCUGCACACGUACUACAAUGCCCAGCACAGAGGGAAGCAAGACCGCAAGGUGGAGCAAAUCCCAAAAAAACUGGGCCCAG
rnacentral:rRNA from 1 species